rnacentral:rRNA from 1 species
UUAUGGCUCAGGACGAACGCUGGCGGCGUGCUUCAUACAUGCAAGUCGAACGUGAUGCUAUCUUCGGAUAGUUGAAAGUGGCGGACGGGUGAGUAAUACGUAGGGAAUCUGCCCUAAAGCGGGGGACAACAGUUGGAAACGAUUGCUAAUACCCCAUAUGAGCCUGGUUGAAAUACCAGUCUUGAAAACUCCGGUGCUUUAGGAUGAGCCUGCGGCUGAUUAGCUUGUUGGCGGGGUAAAUGCCCACCAAGGCGACGAUCAGUAGCUGGUUUGAGAGGAUGAUCAGCCACAAUGGGACUGAGACACGGCCCAUACUCCUACGGGAGGCAGCAGUAGGGAAUUUUGCGCAAUGGGCGAAAGCCCUGACGCAGCAACGCCGCGUGAAUGUUAAGCCCUUCGGGGUGUAAAGUUCUGUCAGUGGGGACGAAACUUGGCGGUACCCACAGAGGAAGCACCGGCUAACUCCGUGCCAGCCGCUGC